rnacentral:rRNA from 1 species
UACGAAGGGUGCAAGCGUUACUCGGAAUUACUGGGCGUAAAGCGUGCGUAGGUGGUUUUUUAAGUCCGUUGUGAAAGCCCUGGGCUCAACCUGGGAAUGGCAGUGGAAACUAGGAGACUUGAAUCUGGCAGAGGGGGGUGGAAUUCCACGUGUAGCAGUGAAAUGCGUAGAGAUGUGGAGGAACACCGAUGGCGAAGGCAGCCCCCUGGGCUGAGAUUGACGCUCAGGCACGAAAGCGUGGGGAGCAAACAGG